AUGACAACAGAAGCCACAGAAAUCCUCCUCAUCAAAAACAUGACUUUGAUCUGCGUCCUCAUCUGGACUCUCCUCUGCUGCUGCUUCACAGAGUCCAGAGGCCAGGUCACAGUGACUCAGUCUGGAGCAGUGAGCUCUGCUGCGGGACGCUCCGUCUCCAUCACAUGUACGACCAGUCAGGUGGUUUAUGGUGGGACAUGUUUAGCCUGGUACCAACAGAGAGAUGGAGGAACUCCUAAACUUCUCGUUUACGUUGCUACCACUCGAGCAUCAGGGAUUUCAGAGCGUUUUACAGGCAGUGGAUCAAACUCUGACUUCACUCUGACCAUCAGUGGAGUCCAGACUGAUGAUGCAGCAGUUUACUACUGUCAGAGUCUCCAUUACCCCAACAGUCAGUGGGUGUUCACACAGUGA